rnacentral:rRNA from 1 species
AGAGUUUGAUCCUGGCUCAGGACGAACGCUGGCGGCGUGCUUAACACAUGCAAGUCGAACGCUGAAGCCUGGCUUUUGUUGGGUGGAUGAGUGGCGAACGGGUGAGUAACACGUGAGUAACCUGCCCUCUUCUUUGGGAUAACGCCCGGAAACGGGUGCUAAUACUGGAUAUUCACUGGCCUUCGCAUGGGGGUUGGUGGAAAGGUUUGUUCUGGUGGGGGAUGGGCUCGCGGCCUAUCAGCUUGUUGGUGGGGUGAUGGCCUACCAAGGCUUUGACGGGUAGCCGGCCUGAGAGGGUGACCGGUCACAUUGGGACUGAGAUACGGCCCAGACUCCUACGGGAGGCAGCAGUGGGGAAUAUUGCACAAUGGGCGCAAGCCUGAUGCAGCGACGCCGCGUGAGGGAUGACGGCCUUCGGGUUGUAAACCUCUUUCGCUCAUGGUCAAGCCGCAACUGUGGUUGUGGUGAGGGUAGUGGGUAAAGAAGCGCCGGCUAACUACGUGCCAGCAGCCGCGGUAAUACGUAGGGCGCGAGCGUUGUCCGGAAUUAUUGGGCGUAAAGGGCUUGUAGGCGGUUGGUCGCGUCUGCCGUGAAAUCCUCUGGCUUAACUGGGGGCGUGCGGUGGGUACGGGCUGACUUGAGUGCGGUAGGGGAGACUGGAACUCCUGGUGUAGCGGUGGAAUGCGCAGAUAUCAGGAAGAACACCGGUGGCGAAGGCGGGUCUCUGGGCCGUUACUGACGCUGAGGAGCGAAAGCGUGGGGAGCGAACAGGAUUAGAUACCCUGGUAGUCCACGCUGUAAACGUUGGGCACUAGGUGUGGGGGCCACCCGUGGUUUCUGCGCCGUAGCUAACGCUUUAAGUGCCCCGCCUGGGGAGUACGGCCGCAAGGCUAAAACUCAAAGGAAUUGAC